UAGAGUUUGAUCCUGGCUCAGAACGAACGCUGGCGGCGUGGAUAAGACAUGCAUAGUCGAGCGGGAUUUUCUUUGGUAGCAAUACCGAGGAAAAUUCAACGGCGAACGGGUGCGUAACACGUGGGCAAUUUGCCUUAAAGUGUGGGAUAGCUCGGCGAAAGCCGAAUUAAUACCGCACGUGGCUACUGGAGACAUCUUCGGGACGCUAAAGGUGGCGCAAGCUACCGCUUUUUGAGGAGCCCGCGGCCUAUCAGCUUGUUGGUGAGGUAACGGGUCACCAAGGCGUUGACGGGUAGCUGGUCUGAGAGGACGACCAGCCACACUGGGACUGAGACAAGGCCCAGACACCUACGGGUGGCAGCAGUCGAGAAUUUUGGAGAAUGGGGGAAACCCUGAUCGAGCGACGCCGCGUGGAGGAUGAAAGUCUUCG
rnacentral:rRNA from 1 species